GGCUGGGUAGCUCAGGUGGUUAGAGUGUGGUGCUGAUGACACCAAGGUCCCAGGUUCGAUCCCUGUCCCGGCCA